UGUAAGCGUAUACCAAAGUUGUUGCAGUUAAAACGCUCGUAGUCGGAAUUUGGCAGUUCCGGGUGUGUGCACGUCGUGUGCGCACUUCGCGGGGAUUGCUUUUGUGGUCUUGCGUAGGAUGAGGCACUUUUAUUAGUGAACGUCCUCACGCAACCACUUUUUACUGUGAGAAAAUCAGAGUGUUCAAAGCAGGCAUUUGCCGUGAAUGUAUUAGCAUGGAAUAAUAGAAUAGGACUUGGUUCUAUUUUGUUGGUUUGUUGGGACUGAGUAAUGAUUAAGAGGGACAGUUGGGGGCAUUUGUAUUUCGGUGCUAGAGGUGAAAUUCUUAGAUUACCGAAAGACAAACUGCUGCGAAAGCGUCUGCCAAGGAUGUUUUCAUUGA
rnacentral:rRNA from 1 species